rnacentral:rRNA from 1 species
UAUCAGAAGGCACACCCGGAGAACUGAAACAUCUUAGUACCCGGAGGAAGAGAAAGAAAAUUCGAUUCCCUUAGUAGCGGCGAGCGAAACGGGAAGAGCCCAAACCAACAAGCUUGCUUGUUGGGGUUGUAGGACACUCUAUACGGAGUUACAAAGGACGACAUUAGACGAAUCAUCUGGAAAGAUGAAUCAAAGAAGGUAAUAAUCCUGUAGUCGAAAAUGUUGUCUCUCUUGAGUGGAUCCUGAGUACGACGGAGCACGUGAAAUUCCGUCGGAAUCUGGGAGGACCAUCUCCUAAGGCUAAAUACUCUCUAGUGACCGAUAGUGAACCAGUACCGUGAGGGAAAGGUGAAAAGCACCCCGGAAGGGGAGUGAAAUAGAACCUGAAACCGUGUGCUUACAAGUAGUCAGAGCCCGUUAAUGGGUGAUGGCGUGCCUUUUGUAGAAUGAACCGGCGAGUUACGAUUUGAUGCAAGGUUAAGCAGUAAAUGUGGAGCCGUAGCGAAAGCGAGUCUGAAUAGGGCGUUUAGUAUUUGGUCGUAGACCCGAAACCAGGUGAUCUACCCUUGGUCAGGUUGAAGUUCAGGUAACACUGAAUGGAGGACCGAACCGACUUACGUUGAAAAGUGAGCGGAUGAACUGAGGGUAGCGGAGAAAUUCCAAUCGAACCUGGAGAUAGCUGGUUCUCUCCGAAAUAGCUUUAGGGCUAGCCUCAAGUGAUGAUUAUUGGAGGUAGAGCACUGUUUGGACGAGGGGCCCCUCUCGGGUUACCGAAUUCAGACAAACUCCGAAUGCCAAUUAAUUUAACUUGGGAGUCAGAACAUGGGUGAUAAGGUCCGUGUUCGAAAGGGAAACAGCCCAGACCACCAGCUAAGGUCCCAAAAUAUAUGUUAAGUGGAAAAGGAUGUGGCGUUGCCCAGACAACUAGGAUGUUGGCUUAGAAGCAGCCAUCAUUUAAAGAGUGCGUAAUAGCUCACUAGUCGAGUGACACUGCGCCGAAAAUGUACCGGGGCUAAACAUAUUACCGAAGCUGUGGAUUGUCCUUUGGACAAUGGUAGGAGAGCGUUCUAAGGGCGUUGAAGCAUGAUCGUAAGGACAUGUGGAGCGCUUAGAAGUGAGAAUGCCGGUGUGAGUAGCGAAAGACGGGUGAGAAUCCCGUCCACCGAUUGACUAAGGUUUCCAGAGGAAGGCUCGUCCGCUCUGGGUUAGUCGGGUCCUAAGCUGAGGCCGACAGGCGUAGGCGAUGGAUAACAGGUUGAUAUUCCUGUACCACCUAUAAUCGUUUUAAUCGAUGGGGGGACGCAGUAGGAUAGGCGAAGCGUGCGAUUGGAUUGCACGUCUAAGCAGUAAGGCUGAGUAUUAGGCAAAUCCGGUACUCGUUAAGGCUGAGCUGUGAUGGGGAGAAGACAUUGUGUCUUCGAGUCGUUGAUUUCACACUGCCGAGAAAAGCCUCUAGAUAGAAAAUAGGUGCCCGUACCGCAAACCGACACAGGUAGUCAAGAUGAGAAUUCUAAGGUGAGCGAGCGAACUCUCGUUAAGGAACUCGGCAAAAUGACCCCGUAACUUCGGGAGAAGGGGUGCUCUUUAGGGUUAACGCCCAGAAGAGCCGCAGUGAAUAGGCCCAAGCGACUGUUUAUCAAAAACACAGGUCUCUGCUAAACCGUAAGGUGAUGUAUAGGGGCUGACGCCUGCCCGGUGCUGGAAGGUUAAGAGGAGUGGUUAGCUUCUGCGAAGCUACGAAUCGAAGCCCCAGUAAACGGCGGCCGUAACUAUAACGGUCCUAAGGUAGCGAAAUUCCUUGUCGGGUAAGUUCCGACCCGCACGAAAGGCGUAACGAUUUGGGCACUGUCUCAACGAGAGACUCGGUGAAAUCAUAGUACCUGUGAAGAUGCAGGUUACCCGCGACAGGACGGAAAGACCCCGUGGAGCUUUACUGUAGCCUGAUAUUGAAAUUCGGCACAGCUUGUACAGGAUAGGUAGGAGCCUUUGAAACGUGAGCGCUAGCUUACGUGGAGGCGCUGGUGGGAUACUACCCUAGCUGUGUUGGCUUUCUAACCCGCACCACUUAUCGUGGUGGGAGACAGUGUCAGGCGGGCAGUUUGACUGGGGCGGUCGCCUCCUAAAAGGUAACGGAGGCGCUCAAAGGUUCCCUCAGAAUGGUUGGAAAUCAUUCAUAGAGUGUAAAGGCAUAAGGGAGCUUGACUGCGAGACCUACAAGUCGAGCAGGGUCGAAAGACGGACUUAGUGAUCCGGUGGUUCCGCAUGGAAGGGCCAUCGCUCAACGGAUAAAAGCUACCCCGGGGAUAACAGGCUUAUCUCCCCCAAGAGUUCACAUCGACGGGGAGGUUUGGCACCUCGAUGUCGGCUCAUCGCAUCCUGGGGCUGUAGUCGGUCCCAAGGGUUGGGCUGUUCGCCCAUUAAAGCGGUACGCGAGCUGGGUUCAGAACGUCGUGAGACAGUUCGGUCCCUAUCCGUCGUGGGCGUAGGAAAUUUGAGAGGAGCUGUCCUUAGUACGAGAGGACCGGGAUGGACAUACCUCUGGUGUACCAGUUGUCGUGCCAACGGCAUAGCUGGGUAGCUAUGUGUGGACGGGAUAAGUGCUGAAAGCAUCUAAGCAUGAAGCCCCCCUCAAGAUGAGAUUUCCCAACUUCGGUUAUAAGAUCCCUCAAAGAUGAUGAGGUUAAUAGGUUCGAGGUGGAAGCAUGGUGACAUGUGGAGCUGACGAAUACUAAUCGAUCGAAGACUUAAUCAA